GAGAUCAGCAAUGCUUUCUGUUCUGCUGUUUUGCAAUUGUACUGGGUGAUGUCUACAGCUCACUGGGUGAGACACUUCUUAAUCCACUUGACAGUGAAAAGAAAAAAGAACCAGCGGCGGUAGCAGGUCGAGCAGCCCGAGUGCCUCACCGCGUCUCUGGGAGAUAACUUCGCACCGGCGCGGAUUCCUUCACUGGCGAGGGACACCCCCUUCCUUCCUUCCUCUCUUCUGCUCUCC
rnacentral:lncRNA from 1 species